CUUGUUUGACCUUGGAAGUCAAGGUUGGGUUGGGCCUGUUAGAUUACAUAGGCGACCCAUACUUGGUUUCAAGGGUUAGCAGGA
rnacentral:pre_miRNA from 12 species